GACGAACGCUGGCGGCGUGCUUAACACAUGCAAGUCGAACGGAAAGGCCCUGCUUGCAGGGUACUCGAGUGGCGAACGGGUGAGUAACACGUGGGUGAUCUGCCCUGCACUUCGGGAUAAGCCUGGGAAACUGGGUCUAAUACCGGAUAGGAGCCAUUUUUAGUGUGAUGGUUGGAAAGUUUUUUCGGUGUAGGAUGAGCUCGCGGCCUAUCAGCUUGUUGGUGGGGUAAUGGCCUACCAAGGCGGCGACGGGUAGCCGGCCUGAGAGGGUGGACGGCCACAUUGGGACUGAGAUACGGCCCAGACUCCUACGGGAGGCAGCAGUGGGGAAUAUUGCACAAUGGGCGCAAGCCUGAUGCAGCGACGCCGCGUGGAGGAUGACGGCCUUCGGGUUGUAAACUCCUUUCGCUAGGGACGAAGCUUUUUGUGACGGUACCUAGAUAAGAAGCACCGGCUAACUACGU
rnacentral:rRNA from 1 species